GACAGAGGUGCCGAGCGUUAGGCGGAAUCACUGGGCUUAAAGCGUGUGUAGGCGGUUCGUUAAGUGCCUUGUGAAAUCCCACGGCUCAACCGUGGAACUGCUGGGCAUACUGCCGAUCUUGAGCCAGCUAGGGGCAACCGGAACAAACGGUGGAGCGGUGAAAUGCGUAGAUAUCGUUUGGAACGCCAAUGGUGAAAACAGGUUGCUGGGGCUGUGCUGACGCUGAGACACGAAAGCCGGGGGAGCGAACGGG
rnacentral:rRNA from 1 species